rnacentral:rRNA from 1 species
GCGCAGCAGUCGAGAAUAGUCUACAAUGGACGAAAGUCUGAUAGUGCGACGCCGUGUGUGCGAUUAAUUCCUUCGGGAUGUAAAGCACUUUUCUAUGAGAUGAAAGCUCUUUAGGUUAAUAGCUUAUUGAGACGGAUAUUAUUAUAGGAAUAAGCUCCGGCUAACUCCGUGCCAGCAGCCGCGGUAAUACGGAAGGAGCGAGCGUUGUCCGGAUUUACUAGGCGUAAAGGGCUAGUAGGCGACUAAUUAAGUUAUAUGUUAAAUCCCACGGCUCAACUGUGGUCCUGCAUGUAAUACUGGUUAGAUAGAGUACUGUAGAGGAAGGCAGAAUUCCUGGAGUAGCGGUGGAAUGCGCAGAUAUCAGGAAGAAUACCAAAAGCGAAGGCAGCCUUCUGGGCAGUUACUGACGCUGAAUAGCGAAGGUGUGGGUAGCGAACAGGAUUAGAUA